AUUGGAGUAGUUUAUUUAAAAUAAAGAAUUGUGGAUUCUUAGAAUCUUAAGGAAAAGACUCUAAUC
rnacentral:tRNA from 1 species